ACUCAACAAGAUAUCUUUAUAAAGGAUGAGUCUUAAUUGUAAAAGCGUGCCGUCUAGAACGGAUACUUGAUCAAUUAGUUAAUCCUAAACAUGUAAUAAGGAGUUU
rnacentral:sRNA from 1 species